rnacentral:rRNA from 1 species
AAUACUAAGGGGCUAAGUUAUAUAUUAUAGGUUAAAAAGGAAGUUAAAUAGAUUUGUUGAAGACUAAAAUUCGCUUAUUUAAAGGUAAAAUUUAAGAUAUAAGAUAAUAAAUCAAAAAAUCUUUAUUAUUGAAUCUUCGACAUCCUUGAGGGAAACUGGGAUUAGAUACCCCAUUAUUCUAGGAAUUAAAUUGAUAAUAAUAUUUACCAGAGAAUUACGAAAUAAAUUUAAAACUCAAAGAACUUGGCGGUGCCUUAGACUAUUUAGGGGAACUUGUCUCUUAAUCGAUAAUCCACGUUAAAUUUACCUAUAAUUGCAAAUCAGCUUGUAUACCAUUGUCGACAGGUAACUUUUAAGAAACCGGUAGUUAACAUAAUAGCUUUAAUAUGAGCUUGUACGUCAGAUCAAGGUGCAGCUUAUGUAUAGGAGAGGAUGAGUUACAAUUAUAAAAUUUAUAAUUACGGAACAUAUUUGGGAUAAGUAAUCAGAUAUAUAAAGGAGGACUUAAAAGUAAUAUUAGAAAUAAAAAUAAUAUGAACCAUAGCCCUGAGGCGUGC